GUUGAACGCUGGCGGCAGGCCUAACACAUGCAAGUCGAGCGGAUGAAGGGAGCUUGCUCCUGGAUUCAGCGGCGGACGGGUGAGUAAUGCCUGGGAAUCUGCCUGGUAGUGGGGGAUAACGUCCGGAAACGGGCGCUAAUACCGCAUACGUCCUGAGGGAGAAAGUGGGGGAUCUUCGGACCUCACGCUAUCAGAUGAGCCUAGGUCGGAUUAGCUAGUUGGUGGGGUAAAGGCCUACCAAGGCGACGAUCCGUAACUGGUCUGAGAGGAUGAUCAGUCACACUGGAACUGAGACACGGUCCAGACUCCUACGGGAGGCAGCAGUGGGGAAUAUUGGACAAUGGGCGAAAGCCUGAUCCAGCCAUGCCGCGUGUGUGAAGAAGGUCUUCGGAUUGUAAAGCACUUUAAGUUGGGAGGAAGGGCAGUAAGUUAAUACCUUGCUGUUUUGACGUUACCAACAGAAUAAGCACCGGCUAACUUCGUG
rnacentral:rRNA from 1 species